rnacentral:piRNA from 1 species
UCAGAAGAAACACUGGGUAAGGGACUGG